CAGGUGUGAUAGGUAGUUGCUGGUGAUUCCUAUUUAACAUAUGAAUCACGAGAGGAAAGUCCGUGCUACACAUGAGAUAGAACUCCAUCUAACGGAUGGCCAGAGUAAUCUGAGGGCAAGUGCAACAGAGAGUAGACAGCCAUUUAUCUAUACGAGAAGAUUCUCUUCUCAUUCCCCCUAUUUCUUAUGGGUAAAUGGUCAAGGUGAAAGGGUGAGGUAAGAGCUCACCAGUGUUUAUGGUAACAUAGGCAGCUAGGUAAACCCUGUUCGUAGCAAGAAGUAAUGGUAUUAAAUCUCAUUAUGUCAUUGGAUUGACAAAACUGCUUCGCUUGAGCGUAUUGGCAACAAUACGCCUAGAUAAAUAACUACCCACGACAAAACACGGCUUAUCGUCACACCUAUUUA
rnacentral:RNase_P_RNA from 1 species